GACGUUGGGAAAGCGAGCGGCGGAUGGGUGAGUAACACGUGGGGAACCUGCCCCUAAGUCUGGGAUACCAUUUGGAAACAGGUGCUAAUACCGGAUAAUAAAGCAGAUCGCAUGAUCAGCUUUUGAAAGGCGGCGUAAGCUGUCGCUAAGGGAUGGCCCCGCGGUGCAUUAGCUAGUUGGUAAGGUAACGGCUUACCAAGGCGACGAUGCAUAGCCGAGUUGAGAGACUGAUCGGCCACAUUGGGACUGAGACACGGCCCAAACUCCUACGGGAGGCAGCAGUAGGGAAUCUUCCACAAUGGACGCAAGUCUGAUGGAGCAACGCCGCGUGAGUGAAGAAGGUUUUCGGAUCGUAAAGCUCUGUUGUUGGUGAAGAAGGAUAGAGGUAGUAACUGGCCUUUAUUUGACGGUAAUCAACCAGAAAGUCACGGCUAACUACGUGCCAGCAGCCGCGGUAAUACGUAGGUGGCAAGCGUUGUCCGGAUUUAUUGGGCGUAAAGCGAGCGCAGGCGGAAAAAUAAGUCUAAUGUGAAAGCCCUCGGCUUAACCGAGGAACUGCAUCGGAAACUGUUUUUCUUGAGUGCAGAAGAGGAGAGUGGAACUCCAUGUGUAGCGGUGGAAUGCGUAGAUAUAUGGAAGAACACCAGUGGCGAAGGCGGCUCUCUGGUCUGCAACUGACGCUGAGGCUCGAAAGCAUGGGUAGCGAACAGGAUUAGAUACCCUGGUAGUCCAUGCCGUAAACGAUGAGUGCUAAGUGUUUGGGAGGUUUCCGCCUCUCAGUGCUGCAGCUAACGCAUUAAGCACUCCG
rnacentral:rRNA from 1 species